UCCAUUCCAUACUCGACAGACUACAUGCUACAUAAUGCAUGCCAACAAAUAAUGAAAGCCACGAGCACUCAAGCGACUUGUCUUCAAUAGAGGCGUCUUUAUUGACCGCAGGUUUUAUAUGACGACUUACACAUAUUAUAUACUAAUGGAAUUAACACAUGAACUUGCACGAAAUAUAUUUAAUACAAUAAAUUGUUCUACACUGCGCCUAGCCAUCGAACCCUAUAAUUAUAUAUAAAACCGAAGCUUAUCAUAUUUUAACUCACUUAUUAGUUAUUUCUCUUCAACUUUCUCAUCUUUCUCGCUCUUUCUGAUACAAAUAAAAUGGAAAUCUCAUCGCGUUACAUGAAUGGCAGCCUGAAGUUCACCCCGAGAAGACUAUUCCGAUCGCGAUACGUCCGGUUAAACGGGGGGCAGAGGAGAAAGAUGAAGACGGCGAGGCUAGGAGGCGGGAGCCCCGUGCGUGCAUGGAGGAUCAGAGCUUCGGCUCGCAGAGUGAAGAUUGUUUUAUCAUCACCGAUGAAGCUGUUGAGGAAACUCAAGAAUCUGUACUUGACCAUGUUGCUUAAAUUGGCAGGAGAGCAUGGACAGAAGAGGAUUACGAAGGCUCGUCACCUUCCGAUUGCAAGAUCCACGGCUGAGUUCAAUAACAGGCUGCUUCUGGAAAUCUACAAGUCCUUUGCGGUUUCUCGUGAAAUGGCUACCAGUUAAUUGAUCACAUAAGAUUUUUAUUUUGUGUUGAAUUAUUUGUCAAGUGUAUAUUUACUGGCUAGCUUGUUUAGUGACUUAGUGGUGAAAUAAUCAUAUUUCUUGGUGCUGUAAAGUUGUGCUAGAUCUGCAAGAGAACCGUUUAUGCUUUCUGAUGUAAGUUGAGAUAUAUGGAGUAGCUUUUUCUUGCCCGGAUGUCUUUUAAGUUCUUUUAGUUUGAUAUGAUACUGGUUAAUCAUAUUGUUAAGACAUCUUUUGGAUUAUGAAACACUUAUGCAACGCCGUAACAAUAUGAUUAGCAACUGAUCUAUUUUUUACGCAGAGAAAUAAAAAGGCACUGCAGUACUAGUGUUUAUAAUUCGGUGA
rnacentral:lncRNA from 1 species